GACGAACGCUGGCGGCGUGCUUAACACAUGCAAGUCGAGCGGUAAGGCCCUUUCGGGGGUACACGAGCGGCGAACGGGUGAGUAACACGUGGGUGACCUGCCCUCAGCUCUGGGAUAAGCCUGGGAAACCGGGUCUAAUACUGGAUAUGACUCCAUGACGCAUGUUGUGGGGUGGAAAGCCUUGUGCGGCUGAGGAUGGGCCCGCGGCCUAUCAGCUUGUUGGUGGGGUGAGGCCCUACCAAGGCGACGACGGGUAGCCGGCCUGAGAGGGCGACCGGCCACACUGGGACUGAGACACGGCCCAGACUCCUACGGGAGGCAGCAGUGGGGAAUCUUGCGCAAUGGGCGAAAGCCUGACGCAGCGACGCCGCGUGAGGGAUGACGGCCUGG
rnacentral:rRNA from 1 species